UGCCAGCCGCCGCGGUAAUACGAAGGGACCUAGCGUAGUUCGGAAAUUACUGGGCUUAAAGAGUUCGUAGGUGGUUGAAAAAGUUGGUGGUGAAAUCCCAGAGCUUAACUCUGGAACUGCCAUCAAAACUUUUCAGCUAGAGUUUGAUAGAGGAAAGCAGAAUUUCUAGUGUAGAGGUGAAAUUCGUAGAUAUUAGAAAGAAUACCAAUUGCGAAGGCAGCUUUCUGGAUCAUUACUGACACUAAGGACCGAAACAAUGGGAAGCAAGAGGAUUAGAUA
rnacentral:rRNA from 1 species